GCUUGCUUCGGCAGGACAUAUACUAAAAUUGGAACAAUACAGAAGAUUAGCAUGGCCCCCAUGCAAGGAUGACAGGCAAAAUCGUGAAGCAUUCCAUAUUUUU